UCUUAAUUGCAGCUUUAAUUGCUAUCAUCAGCAAUGAAGUUAAGGGUUCAUUUGAAGAUAACUUUCGUAAAAGUGAUUGCCCUGAGUCUCACUUCAAGACUUCUGAAGAUGGACAGAUCUGGUAUCUCUCCUUAUACAACAAAGCAGAGAUACAGAUUUGGUUGGUUUAGCAUGAGGUUGAAAUUGGUGGGAGGUGACUCUGCCGGUGUUGUGACGGCUUAUUAUAUGAAGAAAGAUUUUAUGUGAAACAUGCGGACAAAACUUCAUAUAGAUUACAAGGUAUCGAUUACAAGUGAAUUUAAGAUGUGCACAGAAGAUGGGGCAGGGCCAACAAGAGAUGAACAAGACUGAGUUCUUGGGAAACAGAACAGGGGAACCCUAUCUUAUUCAGACAAAUGUGUACAAGAAUGGUACUGGUGGGCGUGAGAUGAGGCAUGUUCUAUGGUUUGACCCAACUGAGGACUUCCAUACAUAUUCAAUUCUUUGGAACUCUCACCAAAUUGUGUAAGUCUACCUCUUUCAACUUUUCCAGUGAUGAUUUCUUAAGCAUAA